rnacentral:rRNA from 1 species
GUAGUCUCGCACAGAUGCAUAUCAAUAAGCGGAGGAAAAGAAACUAACAAGGAUUCCCCUAGUAACGGCGAGUGAAGCGGGAAGAGCUCAAAUUUGAAAUCUUAAAGGGUUUCCCUUUACGAAUUGUAGUUUAAAGAAGUGUUUUCUGUUGAGGUUUUGGUAAAAGUUCUUUGGAAUAGGACAUCAUAGAGGGUGAGAAUCCCGUAUUUGACCUUUACUUUCAACUUUGUGAUACACUUUCAAAGAGUCGGAUUGUUUGGGAAUGCAGUCCAAAAUGGGUGGCAAAUUUCAUCUAAAGCUAAAUAUUGGCGAGAGACCGAUAGCGAACAAGUACCGUGAGGGAAAGAUGAAAAGAACUUUGAAAAGAGAGUUAAACAGUACGUGAAAUUGUCAAAAGGGAAGCGUUUGACACCAGUGUUGUUUUUCUGAAAAUCAAUUAAAGAACUGUUUAUGCUAAGCUGUUUAGACUUUAUCAGCUAUCUGUUUAGUUUUGAGCUUUUCUUUAAUGCACUUUUCAGUUAACAAGUCAACAUCAAUUUCUUUUGCUGUAAAAAAGCUUGAGGAAGGUGGCUUGAGAUUCGUCUUAAGUGUUUAUAGCCUCUUGCCUAUGCAGUCGGAGAGAUUGAGGUCUGCAGCGUAGAUCCUUCGGGGCUAAAUGCAUUUGUGCUAAGUUAUAGCAUUUUAUAGACAACUUGUUGACUAUGAUUUGUCUUGUAGCUUACUCGCUUAUGUUAGUUUUACCUACGCUUAGGAUGUUGAACUACUGAGACAUAGA